UGGUGACAGCUCCUGCCGCGAAGGAUGCGCUGGCGACAGCACCUGCAGCCCCACUGAUGGUCACUCGCUCCUGGACACCGUAUCUCCCUUCCCACCGCUCUUCCCUCCUGAUCUGAGUAGAACUCGUCAUCGUCGUCUCCCUCAUCUCUGCCUCAGCUGAGGAGGCCAUGUAGCUCUCUUGCUUCCAAGGGGGAGGCACUUCGGAGCCUGUGGCCGCGGUGGCUGCCUGCAUCUUCCGGGUGCUGCAGCAGCAGCAGCAGGGGACAGGCAGGUCCCCAUCAACCCACCUGUCACGAG
rnacentral:lncRNA from 1 species